rnacentral:rRNA from 1 species
CCAGCAGCUGCGGUAAUUCCAGCUCCAAAGGCAUAUAUUAAAGUUGUUGCGGUUAAAAAGCUCGUAGUUGGACUAUUGCAUGGGUUGUGUGGUCUGCCUGCUGGGUAAGAACCAUGUCCCUUUGUGUAUAUGUGUAAUUCUACAUUGCGCUUGACUGUGUGGUGUUGAUGCUUGCGCGCCUACUUUGAGGAAAUCAAUGUGCUCCACGCAGGUGUGUGCUGUGAAUACAAUAGCAUGGGAUAACAUUAGUGUGCAUGUUUAUACGUUUGUUGGUUCAAAUUAUGUGUUCAAUAAAAAAGAAUAGUUGGGGGCAUCUGUAUUUGACUGUAAGAGGUGAAAUUCUUGGAUUUGUCAAAGACAGCCUACUGCGAAUGCAUUUGCCAAAUAUGUUUUUGUUGAUCAAGAACGAAAGU